AUGGCCGCCGCCGAUCCCGCCGUCGCCACCUCCACCUGCGCGCACUGUAACCGAGAGGUUCCGUCUCCCAACAUCGCGCUGCAUUCUGCACACUGCGCUCGCAACCUUCACUUGAAGUGUGAGCAUUGUGGAGAUAUGGUCCCAAGGAAGCACAUGGAUAAGCACUAUGAUGAUAACCAUGCUCCGGUGAAUUGCCCACUCUGCGAACAAACUGUGGAGCAUGAGCUGUGGGAUCUUCAUAAACGCUUACAGUGCCCACAAAGGAUGCUUGCGUGCCAGUAUUGCAAGUUUGAACUACCUGCAGCUGACAUUUUUGAGCAUCAGGAUGUAUGUGGAAAUCGAACAAAAUAUUGUCAACCUUGCAACAAGGACAUCAGACUUCGAGAAUGGAUUGGACACGAGCUCCUACUCCAUUCAAAAACAAAUGCCGCUGCAGAAUCUUCAAGAUCCAUGCUGGAAAAAGAAGAGGGUGGUCGUCACAAGCAAGCACGCCCCGCUUUUGGUUUGAAACACAAGCAACUGCUCCUCACAAUUGCAAUAACCGGACUUGCUGUACUGAUUGGAUCCAUUCUGUUCCAAAGAAGGAUUGGAAGUUCCGAAGCCUUGUAA
rnacentral:rRNA from 1 species